CACCAUGAUUUUGAAAUAGCGAUACUGAGGAGAUACUCGAUUUGCACAGAAGAUACUCCAAGCUUUUUGACCACAAGAGGGACCAUUUAGUUCAUUCUUAAGAUAUGGCUGCUAAGAUUCUUGCCAACUUGAUUGUGAUUGGUGGGAGCAUCUUGGCAAGAGGAGUUGUUGCAGCGUAUCGUCAAGCACUUCAAAAUGCUACCAAAAAUGGUGUCGCGCAAGAGACAAUACAAAAUGUGGUCCAUAGAGGAAGCAAAAUGAUGACAGUGGAAGAGGCUCAACUGAUUCUUGGCGUGACAGAGAAAACAUUCUGGGAAGAUAUUGUAAAGAAAUUUGAAACUAUGCACUACAAGAAAUUUUGUAUUUUGCGACGCAUACUUUGCGACCCUUGCCUAAAAACUGCCUCAAAGUGUACCUUUGCGACAGUUUCUGCAACCCUUGAGCCCAACCGCCGCAGGUUCUGUGUUAUAUCUCACGUUUUUCCCUAAUUUACUCACUCACCCUUUGUCAAUUUCAUUCUCGCGCUUCCCAAUUUCACUCUCCCGGUUCCCAAAUUUCAAACCCUAAAACAUUCAAUUUCAUUUUCUCAAAAUCUUCCUCUUACCCUCAAUAUCUUUCAUUUCCUUUCACCCUUAAUCUAUGAAACCCUAAAAAGCAAUCUCCUCUCUCACACCCUUCGUUCUCCACCGGCCACGUCGUCGUGCUUCUCCGCCAACCUCACCGCCGAGCCUCAAUCUUGUUCAAUCGAUCACCUCUCUCAAAUCCUUCACUCGUCUCUGCAAACCUUUCAUUCUGGGGUUCUCACUUUCCUUUCCUUCUAUUCAUCACGACCCACGUUUUUCAGAGCUAUGGUUUCACCGUCGUUCGCACUUCAGCUCUCCUGCUCAACUUUCUCAAGAUUACGAAUUUUCAUUGCUAGACAUGUUACCCUGAAUAUCAAUCACAGCUUUUCCAUCCAUCAUGCCUUACUCCCCAUUGUCAUUACUACUAAGCGACCCCCCUAUGAAAAGUGAAACUGUUUAGCUUUUGGGGUGAAGACCUGCUCGCGAACCCCUAUGCAAAGUGAUGCUUCAAGUAGGCGGCCUUGAUCGUGUCGUAGCCUUCUAUGAAUAAGUGAGUUUAUUUAUUUAAUUUAAUUAUUAUGAUAACUCAUCCUUAUUAUUUUUUAGUAUGUUACUUUGGUACGGAAAUUCAACAUGUACUAGAUUCCCUCCAACCAGAAUUGUUUGUCUCCUUUACUUCUGCUUUCAAAUUCUAUUAAUCUAUCUACUGUUUUUAUUCCAAGAUAUGCUCUUUUUGCUGUUGUCUUCCUUUUCCCUUCCGGGCCAAGCUGGGAUGUUGCUGCAUAUAUGUAAUAUGCAGAUCAGAUCUGAUCACAUUUGUAAAUAUGAAAGAUGAUGCAGUUUACAUAAUCAUAGGUUCAGAAAAGGGCAUGCAAAUACAUUGUAUCAAUCUCUAAAACUGUACAAAUUAAUGAGGCAGAGCAUGUGACAUGGGAAUCAAAGUACAUUAAAAGCCAACAAACACAGAAUUACCAAGAGAUGGUGUGCGCUCCUCCGAGUCUAGUUACUGCCUUGAGAAUCAUGAGCAACAUCACUAGAGAUAUUUAGAUAAAUAUUAUGAGCUAAUGAAGAUGUACUUUUUUGUAUUUUCAAUCAUUGAAAUUCACUUGUAUUUUGGUUUUUGAACGUUUAAGCUACUUUAUUUCUAGUUUUAAUCAAGUUCAUUCAAUGUAUGAAUCUGAAUGUUUAAGCUACUUUAUUUAUAGUUUUAAUUAAGUUCAAUGUAUGGAUCAA